rnacentral:tRNA from 1 species
AAAACACUAGUAAAACUGAAUAUUACACUGCUUUGUCAAGGCAAAAUUGUGGGUUUAAGCCCUGCGUGUUUUA